UUCUAUCUUGUUCAACAAUAUUUUUAUGUCUAGCUGAAUCAAAUAGCUUAGACGGCUUUUAAGUCAACGUAUACAUACUUGAAAUCAAUAAGUAUGUAUCAACAUAUGAUUAAAUAAAAUGGUUAUCCAAGUGGGGACACUUGUCUAACCCUAUAUACGAAUUAACGAACAGAAUAAAUAUCUGAAUUAUACAAUAAUACAAUGAU
rnacentral:lncRNA from 1 species